rnacentral:SRP_RNA from 1 species
GGUUCGGCGUUGCGCAGCGGAAACCGCGUGAAUCGGGUCAGGCCAGGAAUGGAGCAGCCCUAAGCAUGGUUUUCCGGGUGCCGCAGCUGUCCGGACCUCC